CCCGCCUCCUGACCUCCAGUAUCUCGCAGAUCCGAUCCACCCACCCACAACUCCCAUUGCCGCCGGUGUCCCGCUUCCAGGCAUCGUCGCCGGCCUCCUCCUUCCACGCGCCGCCGCCGGCCUCCGGCUUCCACGCGUCGUCACUGGCCUCCUCCUUCCACGCGCCACCGCCAGCCUCCCCCUUCCACGCGCCGCCGUCGCCUCCCUCUUCCACCCGCCAUCGCAGGCUCCUCGCCUUCCACCCGCCCUCGUGGCAUACUUGCUUCCACCAGCCGCCAUCGGAGCCACCCCAGCACCUCCACCGCCGCCACGCGCGACGCGCCUCCUCCCAAGGACGCGGUCGCCCCCCAAGCCUCCUGCCGGCGACGCCCCACUCCUCCCGGCAAUGCGCCUCGCCGCCUCAAAGUGCAGGCCGUUCACCUCCGCCACCCCAGACCGUUCACCUCUGCCACCACUGGCUGUUCAACGCGGCCUCGACAACCCGGCGCAUCAACACCCUCUGUCAACUCCAAUGCGACUUUGUUUGUCUCAACUUCAAAACAUGUUCAGUUCAGAACUUGACAUGGAGGGUAUACUGAUGAUACCUAGCAGAAUGAAGCUCUGAGCUAUAUCCUCAGGAUGCGUAAAAAAAGUCGAAGGCAGCAACUCAGAAAUAGAUGAAUGUUGGAAGGAAGAUGUAUAAGGCUGAGAGGAAAUGGCAUCUUGAGUUCAACAAUUGGUGGUUCUUCAGGUCACUUUAGCGUGCAUUUUCAGCACAUCUUCCAGGCGAGGAGGACGACAGUGACGACUCCUUCAGAUUUUUUUCUGUGUUGCUACAUCGCCGGUGCAAAUUGUGGAAAUCUUCCCAUGUGGAUCAGUACAACUUAUGUACGGCCUUGAGUUCACAAAUCUUAUAUUCAUCUUUGUAGUACUUUUCGUAACACUAAGUAAAGCAAGAGUAGCCCUUUUUUUUGUGAGCAACAAUUCAAACGAAUCUGUUGUAUCAGUUCUUAUGAUAGAUAGAAGAUAAAACAAGAAAGAG